GGGUCAGUAGGUUGGUCGUGCCACCGGUACGUACUGGUCUCACUGAUUCCUCCUUCCUGAAGGACCGUAAUGCCAUUAAUUUGGUGUUGCGGGGAAACAGGACUGUUACUUUGAAAAAAUUAGAGUGUUUAAAGCAAGCUAACGCUUGAAUACAUUAGCAUGGAAUAAUGAAAUAGGACGAUCGAUCCAAUUUUGUUGGUUUCUAGGAUUGACGUA
rnacentral:rRNA from 1 species